GUUAAGGGGGUUUUGCAUAUUAUAUAUGUGUGUGUGUGUGUGUGUGUGUGUGUGUGUGUAUGCAUAUGUAUGUCACGGCAGCAUAACUUUAAUGCAGUCUGCUUUGCCCUGGAGCACAUCUUGUUCUUUGUAUUGGUCAGUGCUGUCACUGUGUCCCUCUGUGUAGUCGACGUGGUCGUCCGAGGGAACAAGGAAAGAGUGAGAGAGAGAGAGAGAGAGAGAGAGAGAGAGAGAGAGAGAGAGAGGGGAUACACAUGUAAGGUCACAGCUGUGUGGGGUGUGUGUGAGAAAGAGAGGGAGGGGGAAAGAGUGGUACAUAGGCAAUAGUGCGAGAGAGAGAGGGGGCAGAGAGAGUGUGUGUGAGAGAGAGAGGGAGGGAGGCUGUAGAGCAAGGACUCUCCCGCUGGAUUUCUGCAUUACUCCCUUAAAGGUACAAGCCCUCGUUCGGAUUCUCACGUGUGGCGUCUUCUCCCUUUUGCGCGCAUCUUGUCACGUUUUACUCGACACGUCCUUCUCCUUCUGAACAGGACGUGAGCACACGUACUGCGCUGCCAUCAGGCUUGUGCGAUAUACACGAUGUUAAAGAUCACCCCUACGCCAUAUUACACUACCCACCGGUGACGUCGCCAGACCUGCCGGGUCCUAAAUCUGAUAUCGGUGUACGUUACCACACGCGCGGGUGAUCGCUCGAAAUAAAAACGGGACGCGAGCCCGUCGACGUGUAAAAAUCCGGAACGCUUGCUCGUGCGUUUUGGACUCUCCGAUGUUAACCGACACCCCCUGGAACUCCUGCUCGUCUACGGCCAACAAAAAGUCAGGUGACGUUUAGAGACAAGUCGGGGAAAGUCAUUCCGAUCGAGGACCACGGGGAAAAACAAGAAGCGAGGACCUUUUAGUUCAUGGAGACCCGGGGAAAUGUUUGGUAGACGUUCUUAUCCAGAGCGACUUACGUUUAUCUCAUUUGUACAACAGAGAGGUUGAGGGUUAAGGGCCUCGCUCAAGAUCCCAGCAGUGGUAGCUCGGCAGUGCCGGGGCUUGACCUUGUCCUGACCUUCUGAUCAGUAACCCAGAGCCUUUAACCACUGAGCCACCGCCGUCCCAAUGACGAUCAGAUACACGAACUAACGACGAGAAGAAAAGGGCUGUUUUGUUUUCAGCUAAGCUUUUUAAAGCCUGUGCUUUCAGUGUCUAACCCCAGCGCAUAAAAACAUCCAAACGCUUAUUAUGAAGCGUGUUAUUGUUACAUUCCCACAGUGUUAGCCUUUAUUAUAACUCCACACUUCUCCAUCUGUACGCUUUCACUUCUCCCUGACUUCCCUCGGACCGGCUGAGAGAAUUUCGACUUCACUGGACGUCUCUGCCGAGGUCCCUUUUACUGCGUCUCUUCUUCCACACAGCAUGUGCGAACACACCGCCGAGCCAAAAAAACGCCCUCCCCGACACUCCACCCUUCCUCUGUAGCACAGCGCGAGAUACAGCCGUGACCUCCACUUACAAAACCCGAGAUGGAGGGAAAAGUUUGUACGGAAUGAUACGUGACGGGUCGUCUCACACCUGAUCUGAUCUGCUCGGCGAGUUAGUGUGUGUGUCAGUGUGAGGCCUAAAGAGGCACACUUACGCGCAGUCACGUGAUCAGACAAAACAGAGGAGGCGCACAGUGCCACGCUGAAUGCCAGCAGUGUGUCUUUGCUCGUCACUUCUGCAGGAAAAUUACGUCAACACUCCAGCAUGGGUCGGAGCUUAACAGUUCCCAAGAUGACAGCUGGGAUUCAAGAGUUUUAAGAGACACAAAGGCUAACGUAAAAACACACACACCCCUAGGAGUGUCUCCCAAAUGGCUGGCAGAGUCGCCAGAGCAGAGGCAGAGACAGCGAGCGCUUAUCUCACCACACCCUGCUGACGCAAAGGCCUGCUG
ensembl:lncRNA